AGUUCAAGGCCAGCCUGAGCUACAUGAUGACAGCCUGUCUCAAAAACACAAAAUAAAAGUUAAAAAAAGAAGAGCGGUAUCAGUGCUUGGGGAAUACAAAGCCACCAAGUAAAAUGUAAGAAUUUGGCAGAAGAUAAACACUGCAUUUCAAACCAGUGGGGAAAAGAAUGCUUCGGUACACAAAUGGCAUUAGUUCGGUUAGCUAGCUAUUUGAAAAACAGUGAGUAGAACGAUGUCUGUACUCAGAAUCAGCUCCAUAUGACUAGAAAUGUGAAGGAAUGUACACGCAGGAAAUGAAAACUAUUUGCCUACUGCCUUGACCUUUGGACUUGUUACAUCCCUGAGAAAGCAAACAGUAAGGAAACUGCGAUAGCUCUUCUGUUUGCCUCUUGAUAUAUUCAUCAACCUCUCUCAAAUAUGUGAAUGUCAAUUCCCUUCCAGAAUCCUGGGCCUCAUCACCUUCAUUUUUCAGUUUCUGCAAUAACUGGGAGUUUGGAUCCUAUAAUUCCUUAGCGAGAAGAGGUUGGUUUUGUCUAAUUUCUCUCCUAGUACAUGUUAGCCAGCUUUCUGUUAUUGUGACAGAAUAGCCCACGUAAUCGUCUUAAAAGGAGGAAAGGGUUAUCUUGGCUCACUGCUUCAGAGGAUUCAGUCCCUGGUUUCUUGGCUCUGUUGCUUCGGGCCUGUGCUGAUGAUUUAGGAGAAACAUAAUCCCACCCGUUAGAUGUCAAGUGUGCCGAGUUCACGGUCUCAGGACCUCAGGGAUCAAAGUCACAAACUAACGGGAGAAGUUCGGAGAGUUUUAUUGGAAAUAAAGACAGGAAUCGCUGCUGGUUGUCCAGGAGGGGUCCUGAGUGAGAGGCACCGAGGUCCUUUGUCAGGGCGAUUCAUACAGCAAAGUCACAAGGUGUGCACGCUGGAGACCACGGUCCACCUACGGGAUCACAGCAGCAGGUGCUGAGUCAAUGCUGAGCCCCAGGGAGUGCAAGGGUGCAUGGGAAGAACAGGCACUUGGGGAAGGGAUGGGUGCGGGUGCCCGGUCACCUCCUGAGUGUCUGGUGCCUGUCUGGACUUCCUGGAUCCGGCGGUGCUGAUUACAGUAGAACCUCAAGCUGCUGCUUUAUCCCCGAGGGAAGCCUAGGAGCCUGGCAUCGCGUCUCCAUCUUGCGCCUCGGGCCGCAAUCUUGACAUCUUUAUCCCUGAGGCCCAGUCUCUCUCGUGGAUUAAUUUGUGUCUGACUCAGUGGUCUACAGUGCUGACACAGUACACCACCGCAGAGCAGUACAGGGAGCCCUCUGCUCACCUGUGGUACAAGCAGCGUGUGAGAGCGGAUGGGCCGGGGUCCCUGUGUCCCUCCAACGGCACAGCCACCGUGACCCACCUCGCUUUCGCUGGGCCCCACCUCAAAGGUAAGAGCCCCGUGCCUUGCCGGGACCCUGGUGAGCACUGCAGCCCGACCGCAGCCCUUAUGUCCCCUGCACACUGCUGUGUGACCCCCUUAAGGCUCUUGGAAUGCGCGUUUCGAGACAGGCCAACCUCCUCACCUCUUCUACUGCAUAGCGUUGUAUCUGCACAUCCCUGCUGUGCAGGAUAACAGUUUAACUGCCCUUCGUCCCGGGUACCUCGGGGAAGGGAACUUCCUUGGAAUUUUUGUUUUCUUUCUUUCUUUUUUUUUCCUUCUGGUGGGAGGACGGGGUCUCACUGUGUAGCCCACGUUGGCGUCUCACAUUUGUGGCGAUCCUCCUGCCUCAGUCCCUCAGGAGAUGGGAUUGCAGGAAGUUCUGGAAUAAGAGAGGUCUUUGCUGUACUCAGCAGCCACUUGGAUCACACACGGGUUUGUGCUGAGGGAACACUCAGUGGGCCUGGUCACCAAGGAGAUCGGCAGGGGCCUCUGAGCCAAGCGCAUCCCUUGCAGGCAGGGACUGGGGACUGAGUUCAGUGCAGGGCAGACAGGCCGGCCCAGCCAUGCGCACGCCAGCUUCCUGGUGGAGCUCCCUGGCUGGUGAGCCUGGCACUGUGCCGGGAGGUGACGCAGCAAGGGCAGAGGCCCGGCGUGUGGGAGCCUCCUGGAGCCCGUCCUGCGUGUCCGUGGGCGGUCCCUCUGAAGGUGCCCUUGAUGAUGAAGCUGUAGUCAUAAGUACAGCCUUGCCCUGGGUCCUGAAAGACAUUCUAGCAAACCCCAAGGGCCAUGCGAACCCCCAGGCCUGUAGCCAGCGGGCCCAAGACCACCCUGCUGGCACAAGAGGCGAGGACAGACUUGAGGUGGCGCUGCCCUGACCCUGCGUGCAGCGUGCAGUGCCCCCGGCCUGGGCCCUCACGUCCUGUCACUUCCGCUCAGGGUGGGCCUUGCUUUGCUGCUCCCAUUUGGCUGAUUUGGAAAAGGUCAGCCCAGGGAGGGAGCAAAGAUCUACCCCCAACAAUCCCACUGCCUGGGAAGACUCACAGGCUUUGAUUUUCACGGUGCCUUACUUUACCUCUCUGCUCUGACGCUUGCGUCUGGUUUUCCCACGUUACCGGGUUCUAGCGGACACUCACACCACAAAAGUUCAGCCGGUAUGCGUCGAGAAUAUGUCCCCUACUUCCACCUUUCCCAGAACUUCAUCAGGGGUGCUUCUGUCUGUGAUCUUAAUCUCCUGAUUUUUACCACAGAGGUGUCUGCUUGAGGUUGCCUUUCCCUCAAACCCAGCAAUUAAUGGAUUCCACGGAACAGGUGAGCGAGGGCCACUGUCCAUUAGUGAUCAUGGCUGCAAAGACCAAACAUGCAUUGCUUAAAUUCUCUGAACCAGAGAGAACAUUCGACUUUUCUGUUUUUACUGGGUCCCAAGGAAAGGUGAUCUUGACCUAGGCUGCGCCCAGCUGAGCCACAAAGGCCUUGCCCCACCACUCAGAAAUGGUCUUUUCCUGGUGCUGAGGAUUCCGGCGUCCCCAGGCUUUCGUCCUCCCCACCCACUGCCGCUUUUCCGCAGCGAAAUCACAGCCCCAGGCAUUUCGGCGGCUGAUUUUCUCAGUGGCUUUGUUCCCGGCUGGCUUCUCCGAGUCAAUGAAAUGCUUCACUACCCACACUUCCGAUUCUGCGCCACUGGGACAGGGAAGGGUCCUGGGACCCUGGAUGCUCAUUCCCGGGUGACCCUUCCGGUGGUCACCUGCUGGGCAUCUGCUUGCCGGGUGGCAGAGGAUGCCCACGGCCCUGUUGUUGUCCUACACUCUUCUGUUGGCCCAUGUUCAGUGUCUCCUCCACAGCCAUCCUGUCUCCUCCCAAGCCCAGAGCUCAUCCAGAGAGGAGGAGAAAACCAGACCAUCGCGGAAAUCUGGUUUUAACCUGGGAUAAAGUUUCAAAAGUCGCCAAAGUCCCAAAUGACACCCAAGCAGGCCCGCCAGGUGGGAUGUGCUAGCAGGCACCGCGAACCCUUCAUCACCAUGGGUUUUUCUCGGUGCUGGUGGCUGCAUGCGUCCCCUUGGCCGAGCUAAGGGACGUCCAUCCACAGGGCUGGCACAGCGCUAUUUCCAGGUGCUUUUGUGAGGGUGUUUCUCAGAGGCGCUGGCAUUGGAAAGGUGAAGAAGGGCCGUGCGUGGUGUCUCACGCCUGUCAUCCCAGCACUUGGGAGGCUGAGGCAGGAGGAUCACUGUCAGUUCGAGAACCAACAUUCAUGGUCUCAGGUUUCGAGCUGACCAUCUGAACAGCUGCAGAAGACCGCAAAUCUGAGGAGGCUAUCAGGAGCGUUUGCCAGAAGGGGUGGGAGCCAGCUCUGCCCCAGCUGCCUGGGAGGAGGGAGCCGCAUUCCAAACAAGCCGAGCGUGCGAGGAGGAGCGGGGAAGGGACGGGGACCGAGGGAGGGAGGGAAGCGGCCCGGACUCCCACCCCGGCUCCCACCCCGGCUCCCGGCCCACCUGCAGCAGGCCCUCCUCCUCCCUCUCCACGGCCCCUUGGUCCCCCUUCCUCCCUCCAGCUGCCUCCCUCGCGUCUCCUUUCCCAUCCUGUCUCCACCUUCGCUCUUGGGUCCCCUUUUGGCUCUACUAGGUUUUGCUAAAGAAAAUGUCCUGAGAUAGGAGAAAAGAAAUAAAGAUGGUGAAGAAGGGAAACGAGGGAAAACUGCAGCCUCAGGACACAAAACGUUAAGCCUUUUUCCCUUUCUGGGAAACUCAGUAAAAACAACAACAACAACACAAAACAAAACAAAAAAAAAACCCUAAGGGUCUUAAGGACACAAUAAACCUGUGAAUUGGGCUCCGGGCCCUUGCUUUUCACCUGUAAAUUACACUUCCCCCCUUGGAUUCCACGCUCCAGGAAACAGCCGCAUUCGCCAGCUGCCAAUCUCAACUUCAAACACAUGGAAAUGGCGCACAUUCUAACUUAGCACCCUGGAUGGGGCGCUCCACAGUCAGCGGGAGCACACAGCCCCGAGCUCCUGCCUGGAGGACACCCCAAGCCCACAACUGUAUCCCGCUCUACACCAUAAGACCCCUCUGACCCCACUCUGUUUGAAUUUCUGCCUAACUGAUCCCCUUGUGCCUCUUACUGGCCCAUCCCAGUUUUUUUCUGUGACAACUCAAU